rnacentral:tRNA from 1 species
GGGGGGGUGGAGCAGUCUGGUAGCUCGUCGGGCUCAUAACCCGAAGGUCGCAAGUUCAAAUCUUGCCCCCCGCA